GAUGAACGCUGGCGGCGUGCCUAAUACAUGCAAGUAGAACGCUGAAGGAGGAGCUUGCUCUUCUGGAUGAGUUGCGAACGGGUGAGUAACGCGUAUGUAACCUGCCUGGUAGCGGGGGAUAACUAUUGGAAACGAUAGCUAAUACCGCAUGACAACAGUUAUUGCAUGAUAACUGUUUAAAAGGGGCAACUGCUCCACUACCAGAUGGACCUGCGUUGUAUUAGCUAGUUGGUGAGGUAACGGCUCACCAAGGCGACGAUACAUAGCCGACCUGAGAGGGUGAUCGGCCACACUGGGACUGAGACACGGCCCAGACUCCUACGGGAGGCAGCAGUAGGGAAUCUUCGGCAAUGGACGGAAGUCUGACCGAGCAACGCCGCGUGAGUGAAGAAGGUUUUCGGAUCGUAAAGCUCUGUUGUAAGAGAAGAACGAGUGUGAGAGUGGAAAGUUCACACUGUGACGGUAUCUUACCAGAAAGGGACGGCUAACUACGUG
rnacentral:rRNA from 1 species